UGGGGAAUAUUGCACAAUGGGCGCAAGCCUGAUGCAGCCAUGCCGCGUGUAUGAAGAAGGCCUUCGGGUUGUAAAGUACUUUCAGCGGGGAGGAAGGUGUUGUGGUUAAUAACCACAGCAAUUGACGUUACCCGCAGAAGAAGCACCGGCUAACUCCGUGCCAGCAGCCGCGGUAAUACGGAGGGUGCAAGCGUUAAUCGGAAUUACUGGGCGUAAAGCGCACGCAGGCGGUCUGUCAAGUCGGAUGUGAAAUCCCCGUGCUCAACCUGGGAACUGCAUCCGAAACUGGCAGGCUUGAGUCUUGUAGAGGGGGGUAGAAUUCCAGGUGUAGCGGUGAAAUGCGUAGAGAUCUGGAGGAAUACCGGUGGCGAAGGCGGCCCCCUGGACAAAGACUGACGCUCAGGUGCGAAAGCGUGGGGAGCAAACA
rnacentral:rRNA from 1 species